rnacentral:rRNA from 1 species
CCCUUAGAUGUUCUGGGCUGCACGCGCGCUACACUGAAGCUAUCAACACGUUUUCCCUCCCUGAGAAGGGCGGGUAACCUUUUGAAUCAGCUUCGUGGUAGGGAUCGGGGCUUGCAAUUGUUCCCCGUGAACCAGGAAUUCCUAGUAGACGCGAGUCAUAAGCUCGCAUCGAUUAAGUCCCUGCCCUUUGUACACACCGCCCGUCGCUACUCCCGAUUGAACGUUUUAGUGAGGCAUUUGGACCGACGCAUCUCAGUUUAACCGCUGGUUUGUGUUGGAAAGACUUCCAAACUUGAGCGUUUAGAGGAAGUAAAAGUCGUAACA